AGCUCCAAUAGGAUAUAUCAAAGUUGUUGCAGUUGAAAAGCUCGUAGUCGUAUUUCUGGCGGGUUGAUGUCCUUGCGCGUUAACUUGGCGAAAGUUGAGUUCGGCAUUGGACCGCCUGUCAUUUUGUGGGCCAAAGCUAAGUUCGUGUGCGCAAGUAUGCGUUCUUAGCUCCACUCCGUCACUGAGAGCAAAUUGGAGUGCUCAAAGCAGGCUUUACAGCUUUGAACAUUUUAGCUUGGAAUGACAAAGUACGACUACUCGUUCACUUUGUUGGUUAUGAAUGAGAAGUAAUGAUAAAUAGGAACAGUUGCGGGGGUACUCGUACUGGAAAGUCAGAGGUGAAAUUCUUGGAUUUUUCCAUGACGAACGACUGCGAAAGCAUUUACCAAGGAUGUUUUCA
rnacentral:rRNA from 1 species